AUUGAACGCUGGCGGCAGGCCUAACACAUGCAAGUCGAGCGGAUGAAGGGAGCUUGCUCCUGGAUUCAGCGGCGGACGGGUGAGUAAUGCCUAGGAAUCUGCCUGGUAGUGGGGGAUAACGUCCGGAAACGGGCGCUAAUACCGCAUACGUCCUGAGGGAGAAAGUGGGGGAUCUUCGGACCUCACGCUAUCAGAUGAGCCUAGGUCGGAUUAGCUAGUUGGUGGGUAAAGGCCUACCAAGGCGACGAUCCGUAACUGGUCUGAGAGGAUGAUCAGUCACACUGGAGCUGAGACACGGUCCAGACUCCUACGGGAGGCAGCAGUGGGGAAUAUUGGACAAUGGGCGAAAGCCUGAUCCAGCCAUGCCGCGUGUGUGAAGAAGGUCUUCGGAUUGUAAAGCACUUUAAGUUGGGAGGAAGGGCAGUAAGUUAAUACCUUGCUGUUUUGACGUUACCAACAGAAUAAGCACCGGCUAACUUCGUG
rnacentral:rRNA from 1 species